CCACAACCAAAAAGACAUAGGAGAAGAGAACAGUAAACAGUUUCGUAAUGGCUCUAAUCCGGAUCAACUCCAGUGUUCAUUUCUUGAUGGCACUUAUGAUGAUUUCAAGCACUUUAUUGUCGAGUGAAGCAUCAGGGAGGAACAUAGGCAUGGAAGCUAACAUUGGCGUCGAGGGGCGCCGUGAACCUUACACUCCUUGUUCAGAUCCUUCAUUUUGUAAUGACAUCUGCAAGCGAGAUGGUAAGGGAGGUGGGACCUGUAGUGGCGGUGCCUGCUACUGCAACAGAGAUUUGUAGCAAGAAAAUGACUAAGAAUAAAGUUUGGGAAUAAAGAUUCACUUGGGAGCAUUAA